rnacentral:rRNA from 1 species
GACGAACGCUGGCGGCGUGCUUAACACAUGCAAGUCGAACGGAAAGGCCCUGCUUUUGUGGGGUGCUCGAGUGGCGAACGGGUGAGUAACACGUGAGUAACCUGCCCUUGACUUUGGGAUAACUUCCGGAAACUGGGGCUACUACCGGAUAGGAGCUCCUGCUGCAUGGUGGGGGUUGGAAAGUUUCGGCGGUUGGGGAUGGACUCGCGGCUUAUCAGCUUGUUGGUGGGGUAGUGGCUUACCAAGGCUUUGACGGGUAGCCGGCCUGAGAGGGUGACCGGCCACAUUGGGACUGAGAUACGGCCCAGACUCCUACGGGAGGCAGCAGUGGGGAAUAUUGCACAAUGGGCGGAAGCCUGAUGCAGCAACGCCGCGUGCGGGAUGACGGCCUUCGGGUUGUAAACCGCUUUCGCCUGUGACGAAGCGUGAGUGACGGUAAUGGGUAAAGAAGCACCGGCUAACUACGUG